UACGAAGGGGGCUAGCGUUGUUCGGAAUCACUGGGCGUAAAGCGCACGUAGGCGGCUUUUUAAGUCAGGGGUGAAAUCCCAGAGCUCAACUCUGGAACUGCCUUUGAUACUGGGUAUCUUGAGUAUGGAAGAGGUAAGUGGAAUUGCGAGUGUAGAGGUGAAAUUCGUAGAUAUUCGCAGGAACACCAGUGGCGAAGGCGGCUUACUGGUCCAUAACUGACGCUGAGGUGCGAAAGCGUGGGGAGCAAACAGG
rnacentral:rRNA from 1 species